rnacentral:rRNA from 1 species
UACGUAGGGCGCGAGCGUUGCCCGGAUUUAUUGGGCGUAAAGGGCGCGUAGGCGGCCACGCACGUCCGUUGUGAAAUCGCCCGGCUCAACUGGGCGGGGUCAGCGGAUACGGUGUGGCUCGAGCAAGCUAGGGGGCAAUGGAAUUCCCGGUGUAGUGGUGGAAUGCGUAGAUAUCGGGAGGAACACCAGUGGCGAAGGCGGUUGCCUGGAGCUUUGCUGACGCUGAGGCGCGAAAGCGUGGGGAGCGAGCCGG